AAACUGAGUGUGCAAUUUCAGCUAUACCUUAGCAAAAGGGCUAAAUUCUGCAAAAUACGACUUCUUCUUGAAGUUAGCUGUCGAUUGUUUAAUUUUGUUUACAUUUAAUUCUUCAAGAAGGAGUCAUAUUCUGCAGUUUUAUCCUGUCUUCUUGAUACACAUUUAUGAAACCAUUCAUUGACUGGAAGAUUUAUGCGUCUACUAUAUAUUUCACACUGCAACACAAUGGAGCUUGACCAUAAUGCAGAAAUUACGGUAAAGAAUGAUGAAACUGAAGGUCAGACUCUAAAACGAGAAGAUCCACAAGUUCAGAUAGAUGUGAAAACUUCUGAUUCGAAAAAUUGUCAGGCAAAAAUAGUCAGGCCCACAAAAAAAAUGAGAAUGGAUUCUGGCGACUCAGGUCAACUUUAUGAUCGAAAGGAGUCAAAGGAUGAUGAGAAUGCAGAAGCUAAAAUUGUUAGGUCCUUUAAAAGAUCCUGUGAACUCUGGUCGAUGGAGGACAAGAACACUUUCUUCAAGGCUUUAAAUGAAUUUGGCAAAGAUUUUGAUGCAUUGCAAAGCUUUUUCCUUAGUCAAGGAAAGAAAAAGGGUCUGCCGGAUAAUAUGAUUAAAAACAAGGAGCAAAUAAGGCACUUUUACUACAGAACCUGGCUUAAGAUAUCAAAGCAUUUAAAGUUUUCUGAAGACGUAAAAAAGGCAUCGCAAGAACUUUAUGGGUUAAUAAAUUAUGGAGAAUUGAGACGAAAAUUGCCACGAAUUCAUGAAAAAGUACAUCUCAAACUGAAUGAGCUUGUUUACUGGGGUUCCACCCAAGUUAGGCUGCGUGGCAAGACUAUGAGAAUUAAGACACCAAUUUGCAGAGCACUUAGAAAACUCAAUCAACUUGAAGAUUGGCAAGAGGAAAUCAAACUACCUUCCAGAGUGACUAUUGAACUGAGGCCAAGAACGAAUUUGGCCUGGUGGGAAGUUCAGGCUGCAGCAAUGAAUCCUAGAGUCAGAACUCUUGUUCCUGUUCAAAGAAGACUUUCCAGCUUACUAACAUUUCUACAGCAAAGAUGGAAACCUGUGAAGUACAGGACUUGUGUAGUCUCUGAAAGUGAAUUAUCUGGUGACUCGAAGGAUAUCCGACUGUUGCGCGUUAUUCCUCCGGAGUCCUGUAAGAUCGCUUUGCCAACGGUGAACCUAGGCGAAUAUUUAACGAGUAAUAGCGUCAGUUUAAACUCUUACGAGAAACGACUCUGUUUGAAAAGUUCACGUGAAGAAUUACUUGGUUCCGUACAAUAUUUGAAGGGCGUUGGCAAGAAGGGAAUCAAGAGAUACAAAAUGGACAAACGAUUUCCAAAUCGUGCCGAGGAUGCAUCCUCAACCCAACCAGACAACAAUAGCGACUUGGAAGUUGCGGAAGGAAUUGUAUCGGAAAAGCCAACGGAUAUUACAAAUUCUGAUAGAAGUUUAUCUGAACAUUUGAGUGAACCCAACAGAUUUCCAGGAAGAGAGACAGUGACCAGAAUUCGACAAGGUUGGAACAUCGAGGAAGCCAAUACUAUUACCGUGGGUGAUCUCUUUCUAAUGUUUGGUAGGGACUCAAAAAUAAUUCUGGAAUAUUUGUGGGAUUUACCAGUGCAAAGUCAAAGUCCUUCCAUAGAAAAGACUAAGUCCAUUGCUUCUACAAGAGAUGAUAGUCUAUGUUUGGCUUUGCAGAAGUUAUUGUCUAUUGCCAAGCACAGUUAUGGUACUAGUAAGGUGUAUGAUAACACAUCAGGAAGUAAUGAGACCGUCAUAUCUUCAAGGAUUCCAUCGACCAAAGAAUCCACAUUUCGACGACCUUUAAUUCCGCAGGCUUAUCACAAACUCGGAACACCGGAUGCUUUCAAAACUCAACUUGACAAAUUCAAAAAUCGAUUUUGCAAAAGGGGUAGAACGGUGCGUCAAAGAAAUUUGGUAGUACAACGAGUACUGCCUUUGGUCUCUGGUACAUCGUCGACAAACUCGUCGUCAGCGAGUUUACUGCAGCAAGGAGUAUCCUCUCCAGUUGGGGAAACUACACCAGAAAGCGAAACUCCAGAUGAGGUGGUUGAUAAGGCAGAAAUGCCUGCAGAGGAUUCUCAAGAUAAAAACUUUCUUGGCGUAUUGGCGGCCGAAGGGCGGGCACAGCCAUCGAAUUCAAUAAUUACAAGCGCCACUCAAAUACUGAAGGAAGGCGAACAUCAGUGGCUCAACAGCGAGGUCGCGGAUUUCUCGCUAAGCAGUUUUCUCGGACAACUCGAAUCUCCAGUGAAGUCGCAUCGUGGGCAACUAGGAAGUCAACCUGUGGAAGACGUUCGACCAUCGUCAGAUGUUGUCACUCAAAUGCAAUGCCUAAUGGGAGAAAACAGCGUGGAUUACAUGGCGAAAUUUGCUAAUUUAGCAUCACAAAUCGCAUCCGACGACCAAAAGAAAUGAAAACCGAAAUCCGCAUACAGUGAAGUCAAAUAGGAAGCACAACGAAUAUAGUCGUCCGAGCACGUGACCCUCGUCCAAGAGCCAAUCAGAAAGACGUGUAGUCAUCGCCUGCGACUUUUUCCUGGUUCACGAAUUAAAGGGCAUUAUGUGGAUUUUUCAUCAUCGUUUAGCGAAGAACCGUGAGCAAUUAUACAGCAUUACAAUCGCAAUCGUAUUAUUAUGCUAAUCCAGCAGGACAGACUAGUUUGAGAAAUUUCUUAUAAUCCUGCGGAAGUUGGAAAUUAAUUGAAUCCGAAUCAGACUGCAAGGAUUUAGAAACGGCUACGUCUCUUCAAAGAUCUGUUAUCAUCGUAAAUGGCAUUCCGCAG